UUCAUGGAGAGUUUGAUCCUGGCUCAGGACGAACGCUGGCGGCGUGCCUAAUACAUGCAAGUCGAGCGGACCGAUGGGAGCUUGCUCCCUUAGGUUAGCGGCGGACGGGUGAGU
rnacentral:rRNA from 1 species